GCUGAACCUACAAUUAAUAGAAGUAGCUUUUACACAAAAUCCCUUUUUCUUUUUUGUUUGUUACAACUGAGGUCUACAAGUCUGGCAAUCAAAAUUUGUUGGUUUCGAGAAAGAAAUGCCUGGAAUCAACUUAUCAAAUCUCUAUUACUGCCACCUUAAAUGCUUUACCACAGGACAAAUUGGUCUGGAAUAACAAAAAGAUUGACCUCAAGGCACACAUGUUGCUAUCUGGCACUGUAUCAGCCAGGGAGCAGUAGUCAUGGCAACUCAACCGCUGCUGGUUUAAUUGCUUUACAUUUGCCAUGAAAAUACCGCUCUAGCUUCACUGCUCAAGCUGAGAACAAA
rnacentral:lncRNA from 1 species